UGUUAAAGAUGGCGGCGCCGUUCACUGAAACAAGUAUGCAGAAUGUAGUAGGUGCAUCUCUGGCAAGCCAGAAAUAUAGCGUUUUUACACAGCAAUAGUAGUACUAUUUAAUAGUGUGCUUAAUAGAUUUUGACUUUCCUUGUCCUUUAAGCACCAUUUACCGGCAACCCUAGACACUGUACAUUUAAAUAACUUGCAAUUGGUAUACAGUCAGGAACUUCUACAACUCUUAGAAACCCUAAGAGAUCCUGAAAGUUAUAGUUUAAGGGUCAACUGCAGAGUAGAAAUGUCAGCCUCCCUCAUGACAGUACAAAGUAGUAAUGCAAUCUCAUAGCAGAGCAGGAAGCAGGUUGUAAUGUAGACAGGUUGGGACUGAAAGUUUAGAACAGCAGCAAAGCAGAGUAGAAUAAGGAGCUUCUUUCUACAUCAGUCCUAUUGCAUGCUGAGUAAUGUAGUUUUACAUUAACCUUGGCUGUAGACUAAUUGUUAAAUACAACCUACAACCCCAACAUGCGUUGAGGGAACCAUGCUAGAUACACUAGGGAAAAAGUUGGCUUGUUUUCAAAGUACAAACCUACCAAGGUCCAAAAAGUAGCCCAAAGCUGUACCUUGGCUGGUUUGUACUUUGGAAACCUGCCCAAGCUUUGACUUAGUAGCCCAAUUUGGCAGGACAACCCGGUAACCUUGCACCUCCUCUGCAGGCCUUCCUUCCUUUAGCUCACAGGGGUUGGACUCCUCCCACUUCACAGAACAACACAGAGAGAGACAGCUAUUCACAGCCUCCAUAUAAGUGUAUAAAUUGAGCAUAGAGAUUACAAACAAAAAUGCAAGCAAUAACUGAUACCAGAGGUAUUUCUAUGUAUAUUUAUAACAGUGAGCUGCCAUAAUAAAAAAAGGCAAAUGGAAAUAGUGAGAGACUUCAAUAAAACAACUAUCCCAGGGUCUGAAUGAUCAAGAAAAAUAGGAAAAAUUUUGAUUUAUGAAGCAAUAACUGAGCAAAUAUUUCUCUGCAUCCUUGUAUCAUAACAACAGUUAUUAGAAGCAUUGUUGCUUUCUCCAUACAUAACUAGUUAUUAUAAUGUCCCUUACAGUGACAGACAAAAUUUCAUCUGGUUGCUUCCAGCUGAUGGGAGGGAUAUGGAAUUAUCUCCCCCCAAAACACACACAGUGCAAUGUCUGCAUGUAAUUCUUCAUUCUGGCCUAAUGGCACAUAGGUGGAUAUUUAGUCAUCUUUACAACAAAUCUUUAGCCUUAUGGUAAGAAAUAUCUUUGUUUUAUAUCUACACCCACUUUACUUAUAUCCAUCUCCCUUCACCUGACUGGAUCCUUACCCCUCUGAGGAAAAUAAGCACUUCUGUUCAGACACCUGAAGAAUGAACUGCCACAGAAUUUUUUACCUAAAGUUAAUGUUGGGGCACAUGGGAUAUGUUUAGCAGCGUAGGCCAUUAGCACUUUGAAUAUCUAGCAGUGUUGUCCAUGGGUUGGCAUUAAUUUGCUGGCAGUUACAUUACCUUUUGUUAUAAUUGUGAAAAGAAAUGUAAAGGAUGGAGACAACAUAAAACAGAAAAGUAUUUUUAACAUAAUGUAUUGUGGACCUCAAAGACCUCAUUUAUAUUAAAACAAAUCUUAAUGCAAUUAAGCUGAAUUAUUGUCAAAAAUAAGAUUAUCUGAUCACUAAUUGUUAAGCCUGUUUAAAAAUCAACAGAAAAUCAUACAUGUGAAGCCUUUUUGGUUGGCAGGACCAGCAUUUGCCAGUCUGGAUGUACAUGGAUUGAACUGGGUUCUUGACUUCUGCAGUGUGGUGAGACAGGAUUGACAUGAAGGCAAGAAAUUUUGUGAGGAACCAAUUUAUAAGUCUUUAUUGAAGAAAUGAAUAUAUAAUAAGCAAUAGCAGCAACCACUGACCCUCUUAGAUCGAAUGAUGUGAACCUGUGAAGCUCACUCUCUUUGUGAGUGUGGGAAGGUGCCAGCUCUGUACAGGUUAAUUCACAAAGCAAUUCUCUUCAUGGGUCUAACUGGGCUUCUACAAGCCUCUAACAGUGAUCCAAGCUGUGCACAAUUUUUUAUCAACAUCCAAGCACAUACUGCGCAGAAGUGAGGAACGCAGCGUCACUCACAGCAAACACAAUGAUUUGCUAUUCUAGCAUGGCACUUUUCAAUGCAUAGACACCCACAAAAUCAUUUCAAUUUUUGUCUCACCCUAAAUGUGACUGUAAAGACUUUCUUCCUUGAGUUUUUUAUUAGGAAUUUUCACUCCAUAGUUCCCAAUCACAGACUGCUUUGGUAGGAUACUCUGCUGUAAUUGUACUCCUAGGCUGAGGCAUAUUCAAGAGAAAUGACUGGGCAUGUGAACUCUGCAAGAGACAGGAUGGCGAGUGACUGAGUAUUCCUAUAUUUCAUCAUGCUUUCUUGGAUGGGGUCAUGUAGAGACCAAGUCUAAACUUUCAUGAGAAAGAAAUUCAAGGCUCCGAAGGAAACAGGUGUUUUCUACGUCAAGGGCACAUUAACCACUAGCACAGAUCAAGCACAUUGUGAUUACCUCACCCUUUCCCAAGUUAAAGUCAAAAGGACAUUGCCUUUGGCAUUAAGAAGUUGGUUGUCACAAACUGACACUGCAAUACAAAUCAUUACAAAACGGCAUCAGCUGACUGUAAUGCUUUAUCAAGAUAGCCUUCGGUCCAUUUCAGUUUCCUACAUGCUACAUAAGCUCUUUCCACUGAACACAGCAGCCUAAAAUGAUUGCUUUGUAAAAGCUACAAUUUAAGUGAAAAAGAACAAUUUCAUCAAACAAGCAAAAGAGGAAGAAGAGGACAGAAAGCGAGGAGGAGAAGUACAUGCCGCCACCUGUUUGCAGUAUAAGGGCUGUUGUAAUUCCUUCUGUUUACCCAACACACUAUUCCCAGCUCUGACAGAAAAUGUUUUUAUUAUUUACAGUCUGCACUUAGCACAGCCAUCAAGGUUGAUUGUGGGUUUAUUGUUGCUGGCCCACCUUCCUACACCAGCAGGUGCCAGGCACUCUGACUUACACUCCCACAGAACAUUGACCCUGGAAUACGUGAAGAGGCAGUGAUGGAUUCUGUUUACACCGACUGUGAGCCUGCUCCUCCCUUUCUGUAGAAACAUCCCACGGACAAUAAAAUGCUUGCUGAGAGCCAGAGCCCUAUUUCAGGCUUAUUCUGCCCUGACUCAUUCAUGACUGUACACAACUGUACAGGGCAAGGAAUAACCUAUUCAGUGCCUGGGGGAUACACGUUUGUUCCUAACUUAAAUGUACAGAAUGUACAGAAAUGCAUUUCCAAUCACUUCAGACAUAUGGGCUUAUUUUUCAGAAGUGUUUUACUAAUUCAAAUAAACUC